AGUGAACGCUGGCGGCAGGCCUAACACAUGCAAGUCGAACGGCAGCACAGCAGUAGCAAUACUGUGGGUGGCGAGUGGCGGACGGGUGAGGAAUACAUGGGAAUCUGCCCUGUCGUGGGGGAUAACGUAGGGAAACUUACGCUAAUACCGCAUACGACCGAGAGGUGAAAGCGGCGGACCGCAAGGCGUCGCGCGAUUGGAUGAGCCCAUGUCGGAUUAGCUAGUUGGCGGGGUAAAGGCCCACCACGGCGACGAUCCGUAGCUGGUCUGAGAGGAUGAUCAGCCACACUGGAACUGAGGCACGGUCCAGACUCCUACGGGAGGCAGCAGUGGGGAAUAUUGGACAAUGGGCGCAAGCCUGAUCCAGCCAUGCCGCGUGAGUGAAGAAGGCCUUCGGGUUGUAAAGCUCUUUUGUCCGGAAAGAAAAGCCUUCGGUUAAUACCCGGGGGUGAUGACGGUACCGGAGGAAUAAGCACCGGCUAACUUCGUGCCAGCAGCCGCCGUAACAC
rnacentral:rRNA from 1 species